rnacentral:rRNA from 1 species
UGGGGAAUCUUGCGCAAUGGGCGAAAGCCUGACGCAGCGACACCGCGUGGGGGACGAAGGCCUUUCAGGUCGUAAACCCCUUUCGGCAGGGACGAAGCGACACCGUGACGGUACCUGCAGAAGAAGCCUCGGCUAACUACGUGCCAGCAGCCGCGGUAACACGUAGGAGGCGAGCGUUGUCCGGAAUCAUUGGGCGUAAAGAGCGCGCAGGCGGCUUGGCAAGUCGGGUGUGAAAUCCCGGGGCUCAACCCCGUGACUGCAUUCGAUACUGUCAGGCUAGAGGUAGGUAGGGGAGAUCGGAAUUCCUGGUGUAGCGGUGAAAUGCGCAGAUAUCAGGAGGAACACCGGUGGCGAAGGCGGAUCUCUGGGCCUUACCUGACGCUCAGGCGCGAAAGCUAGGGGAGCGAACAGG